ACUCUGAUGCAGCGAUGCCGCGUGAGUGAAGAAGGCCCUUGGGUUGUAAAGCUCUUUCNUCGGGGAAGAAAAUGACUGUACCCGAAUAAGAAGGUCCGGCUAACUUCGUGCCAGCAGCCGCGGUAAUACGAAGGGACCUAGCGUAGUUCGGAAUUACUGGGCUUAAAGAGUUCGUAGGNGGUUGAAAAAGUUGGUGGUGAAAUCCCAGAGCUUAACUCUGGAACUGCCAUCNAAACUUUUCAGCUANAGUAUGAUAGAGGAAAGCAGAAUUUCUAGUGUAGAGGUGAAAUUCGUAGAUAUUAGAAAGAAUACCAAUUGCGAAGGCAGCUUUCUGGAUCAUUACUGACACUGANGAACGAAAGCAUGGGUAGCGAANAGGAUUANAUACCCUCGUAGUCCAUGCCGUAAACGAUGUGUGUUAGACGUUGGAAAUUUAUUUUCAGUGUCGCAGCGAAAGCGAUAAACACACCGCCUGGGGAGUACGACCGCAAGGUUAAAACUCAAAUGAAUUGACGG
rnacentral:rRNA from 1 species